CAAUAGCUUAGUUGGAUAGAGUACUCGGCUACGAACCGAGAGGUCGGGGGUUCGAAUCCCUCUUGGUGC
rnacentral:tRNA from 1 species